CCGCCUGCAAAGUGACUUGAGAGCCCCGCGACGCAGCCUUCUAGAGGAGCAGGGACUUCUCUGGAACACUGGCGUGCGCAGGGAUUAAUCCCACCGUAGAGAGCCAGCCUGGGCUUUGAAGUGUUACAAGGGGAGGGAGGAGUCACAUUGCAGGCCAAGCCAGAUGGGCAAGCAAUACAAGCUGUGAAUUUAUUCUUGACCCCGUAGGACAGUGACCACCAUCAUUUUUUUCUUCACCCUACAGUUAUGCACUGCCAAUAAGUGAAAAGGUCAAGAGAAGCAGUAGUUCAGUGGCUGAAUUUUUCUGAAGUGCUUUACAGCAGGGAAGGUGGGGAAACCUCUUAAAUAAAGUGGUGUCUUAUUCAAUCCUGGAGCACAGGCCAAGGGUUUUAAUGCAAAAUACCAGAAAAAAAAGUCUGCAACAUCUCCUGUGAGUGGGGGAAGAAAAUAAGAUUAACAAUUGCAUCUUGAAACACUCAUAAUUUGAGGUAAGUGAUUGGAGGGUCUUGUCAUAAGUUACAGUUAGUUUGUAAUUAAAUUAAUCAUUAUUUACCUUGGAGUGUCAUGAUAUUGUUGUUGAAGGCAAUAAAAACAGGCAGGAGAGAGAGG
rnacentral:lncRNA from 1 species